GACGAACGCUGGCGGCGUGCUUAACACAUGCAAGUCGAGCGGUAAGGCCCUUUCGGGGGUACACGAGCGGCGAACGGGUGAGUAACACGUGGGUGACCUGCCCUCAGCUCUGGGAUAAGCCUGGGAAACCGGGUCUAAUACCGGAUAUGACUCCAUGACGCAUGUUGUGGGGUGGAAAGCCUUGUGCGGCUAAGGAUGGGGCCCNCGGCCUAUCAGCUUGUUGGUGGGGUGAUGGCCACCAAGGCGACGACGGGUAGCCGGCCUGAGAGGGCGACCGGCCACACUGGGACUGAGACACGGCCCAGACUCCUACGGGAGGCAGCAGUGGGGAAUCUUGCGCAAUGGGCGAAAGCCUGACGCAGCGACGCCGCGUGAGGGAUGACGGCCU
rnacentral:rRNA from 1 species